UACGUAGGGGCCUAGCGUUGUCCGGAUUUAUUGGGCGUAAAGAGCUCGUAGGCGGUUUGGUGAGUCGGGUGUGAAAUCUCCACGCUCAACGUGGAGGGGCCACCCGAUACUGCCAUGACUGGAGUCCGGUAGGGGAGUGUGGAAUUCCUGGUGUAGCGGUGAAAUGCGCAGAUAUCAGGAGGAACACCGGUGGCGAAGGCGGAUCUCUGGGCCGUAACUGACGCUGAGGAGCGAAAGCAUGGGGAGCGAACAGG
rnacentral:rRNA from 1 species